AAGGGCGUAGCUCAGUGGUAGAGGGUGUGCUUGGCAAGCACAAGGUCUGGGGUUCAAUCCCCGGGACUUCU
rnacentral:tRNA from 1 species